ACCGGCAGUCCGCCCUCUCCUUCCGCCCGUGAUUCAGCCAUCCGUGAAUCACCCCCUCCACGGAUCAAGCUCCCGCGUCCGUUCCAUGAUCCCAGGUAUCCUCCCCCUCCCCAGGGGGGUUGAUCUAUAAAAGGAGAGGGAGCCAUCGAGCCAGGGAGCGCUCGGUUGAGGUCGGUUGGGCCAAAGAACAGGGGCUGGGUGGUUGGUUCCAAAGAACAGAGGAAAGAGGCCACCGGCGGUCCAAGGAAACAGGGGAGCUCUUUUGGGAGGAAGAAGAAAAAAAAAAAAAGAGAAAUGCUCUGUUUUGGUUUGAAAGAAAGAAUAAAAAAAUAGAGGAGGGGAGAACGAGGAGUUUUCUAAUUUCUUUUAUUCCUUUCUUUAUUUUUUUAUGUUUUAUUUUGUAGAAGGAGGGGGCACUAGGCUUCCAAACUUCAUUUUAUUUCUUUUGUAAUUAUCCUUUUUAUGCAAUCAGUACAUUUAUUAUCAUGCAAUCCUUGUUCUAGGUUCAAGUUAAUUUCUGUUUUUUUUAAUGCAAUCUGUUAAUUCUUCUUUGAUGCAAUACAUUAAAUUUUCUUUGAUGCAAUUUAUAUUCUAGGCUUUUGAUCUUCU
rnacentral:lncRNA from 1 species